UCCUGUAAAUAAUCCAAAUAAAAACAAAAAUAAUAUUGCCAUCAUUCCCAUCUUCAUUGGUAGAAAAACUUAUGACACGAAGUAGGUAAGAAAAAAUGAAAAUCUUGCAAGCAAAAUAAGAUUAUGAACUUCAGUAACAUGCAUAUACGCAUAAAAGAUAAACCACACUUGAAACGCCCUAAAGGAGACAUGCAUAUAAGCAUGCCGCCAUUAGUUAUACAUACAACAAAAAAUGAACGACUAUCAAAGAAGAUAAAGA
rnacentral:lncRNA from 1 species